CGAGUGGCGAACGGGUGAGUAACACGUGGGUGAUCUGCCUUGCACUUCGGGAUAAGCUUGGGAAACUGGGUCUAAUACCGGAUAGGACAGCUGUUUAGUGUCAGUUGUGGAAAGUUUUUUCGGUGCAAGAUGAGCUCGCGGCCUAUCAGCUUGUUGGUGGGGUAAUGGCCUACCAAGGCGUCGACGGGUAGCCGGCCUGAGAGGGUGUACGGCCACAUUGGGACUGAGAUACGGCCCAGACUCCUACGGGAGGCAGCAGUGGGGAAUAUUGCACAAUGGGCGGAAGCCUGAUGCAGCGACGCCGCGUGGGGGAUGAAGGCCUUCGGGUUGUAAACUCCUUUCGACAGGGACGAAGCGUAAGUGACGGUACCUGUAUAAGAAGCACCGGCUAACUACGUGCCAGCAGCCGCGGUAAUACGUAGGGUGCGAGCGUUGCCCGGAAUUACUGGGCGUAAAGAGCUCGUAGGUGGUUUGUCGCGUCGUCUGUGAAAUUCCGGGGCUUAACUCCGGGCGUGCAGGCGAUACGGGCUGACUUGAGUGCUGUAGGGGAGACUGGAAUUCCUGGUGUAGCGGUGAAAUGCGCAGAUAUCAGGAGGAACACCGAUGGCGAAGGCAGGUCUCUGGGCAGUAACUGACGCUGAGGAGCGAAAGCAUGGGUAGCGAACAGGAUUAGAUACCCUGGUAGUCCAUGCCGUAAACGGUGGGCGCUAGGUGUAGGGGGCUUCCACGUCUUCUGUGCCGUAGCUAACGCAUUAAGCGCCCCGCCUGGGGAGUACGCCGCAA
rnacentral:rRNA from 1 species